rnacentral:lncRNA from 1 species
CUUUGAUCUUCUUAUUAAGAGUGUGGGGCUGGGUGUAGCUCAGAGGUGUUUGCAUGGGACACCCAGAGCCCUGGGUUCCAUCCCCAGAGUCACCCGGAGUGCAUGCUGGACUCUGCCAGAUCAUGGAUCUCUGCAGCCUCAGGAGAGAAAUGCAACUGACUUUGUUUUAUGGCCAGGAAAACUGAAGGUAAAACUCCCCAGGAUCCAAAGUCAGGGAGGUGGGAACAGUAUCACCCUGUGUUUCAGGCCCCAUGUAUAGUAAAGAGGUCACUGAUCCACAUUGAGAUCUGGCAGGUGCUCUUGGCUUUAGGGAAGUCAUCUAUAUCCUGUCUGACUGGGGGGUCUUUGUUUAGAAUAGGGUCUGACCAUGUCAGAAAGAGCAACCAUGCAAUGUGGGUUGGGGACUUUGGAUCACAAGGCAUCUGUCAAUCAGUCACCCAGUGGGCAAUCAUCAAUCGAUCACUCUUCCUACAGAAUGAAGGCCCUGUAAAGACUCGGGACACUGGCUGGCAGCACUCUGUGGUCACAUGUUGAUGCUGGCAGGGUAAGGCUUCUUGAGGACAACAGAGGCUUUGCAUUUGGAACCCUGCCAGACUGCCCCAUGAGCCUCUUCCCUGACUGACUUUAAUCUGCAUUUUUUCACUGUGAUAAACCACAACCAUGGGGACGGCAGCUUGCAGGGGUUCUGUGCAUCCUUCUAGUGAAUGAUCAACCCCGAGGGUUGUGUCCCUGGACUUUUGGCUAACUCUGGGUAGCCAUGAAGUUCAGUCCCCAUUGCACUGUUAUGCCCAGCCAGAAUCCCACCGAAUCCCCACUCAAGGAAGAGGGUUGACAGAAGAGGAAGCAAAGGCUCAGAAAAGUAGGUCCAGAGAUGAUAUGGAAACCCUUGUCUCUUUAAAAAAUUUCUGGCCCGAGUCUUUCUCUAGUGUGGCCUACUAAGUGAUGCAUUUUUAAAAGGUUCAUGUACAUGCUAUUUAUUGCUGUAUAAUGAAAGUCCAAAGCCAG